rnacentral:rRNA from 1 species
GGGAGCUUGCUCCCGGAUUCAGCGGCGGACGGGUGAGUAAUGCCUAGGAAUCUGCCUGGUAGUGGGGGACAACGUUUCGAAAGGAACGCUAAUACCGCAUACGUCCUACGGGAGAAAGCAGGGGACCUUCGGGCCUUGCGCUAUCAGAUGAGCCUAGGUCGGAUUAGCUAGUUGGUGAGGUAAUGGCUCACCAAGGCGACGAUCCGUAACUGGUCUGAGAGGAUGAUCAGUCACACUGGAACUGAGACACGGUCCAGACUCCUACGGGAGGCAGCAGUGGGGAAUAUUGGACAAUGGGCGAAAGCCUGAUCCAGCCAUGCCGCGUGUGUGAAGAAGGUCUUCGGAUUGUAAAGCACUUUAAGUUGGGAGGAAGGGUUGUAGAUUAAUACUCUGCAAUUUUGACGUUACCGACAGAAUAAGCACCGGCUAACUCUGUGCCAGCAGCCGCGGUGAUACAGAGGGUGCAAGCGUUAAUCGGAAUUACUGGGCGUAAAGCGCGCGUAGGUGGUUCGUUAAGUUGGAUGUGAAAUCCCCGGGCUCAACCUGGGAACUGCAUCCAAAACUGGCGAGCUAGAGUAUGGUAGAGGGUGGUGGAAUUUCCUGUGUGGCGGUGAAAUGCGUAGAUAUAGGAAGGAACACCAGUGGCGA